rnacentral:rRNA from 1 species
AGAGUUUGAUCAUGGCUCAGGACGAACGCUGGCGGCGUGCCUAACACAUGCAAGUCGAGCGGGGUAUAUUUUUCGGAAUAUACUUAGCGGCGGACGGGUGAGUAACGCGUGASAAUCUGCCCUAUACAGAGGAAUAGCCUCGGGAAACCGGGAUUAAAACCACAUAACACUUUGAUACCGCAUGGUAAUGAAGUCAAAUUGAUUUAGAGGUAUAGGAUGAGCUCGCGUCUGAUUAGCUAGUUGGUGAGGUAAUGGCUCACCAAGGCGACGAUCAGUAGCCGGCCUGAGAGGGUGAACGGCCACACUGGAACUGAGACACGGUCCAGACUCCUACGGGAGGCAGCAGUGGGGAAUAUUGCACAAUGGAGGAAACUCUGAUGCAGCGACGCCGCGUGAGUGAAGAAGGUCUUCGGAUCGUAAAACUCUGUCCUUGGUGAAGAUAAUGACGGUAGCCAAGGAGGAAGCCCCGGCUAACUACGUGCCAGCAGCCGCGGUAAUACGUAGGGGGCUAGCGUUGUCCGGAUUUACUGGGCGUAAA